GACUAAUUUAGAUUUUGAUAUAUUGCAGUUGUAUUUCACUUAAAAAUUCACGGAGAUAUUAAUGUUUAAAAUCGGGAGCAUAUUUCUGGAUGUGUCCGAAAUAUGCAAAAAACGGCGUAUCAAAUAUUAAUCAAGAUUUGCCCGACUGAAACAUGCACUAUUACCAGUAAAUAAAUGACACUUGACAAAUUGUUCAUUAUGAAACAAAGUAUUAUUAUCAACAAAAUACAAGUAAGAUUUAUUCGUCCGAAAUCCGCGUGUGUUCUAGCACGAAUACGUUUCCUUAUUUCAUGAGACCACUGCAUUGUGAAGGAUCGUCAUGGAUCGUUCGUAGUUCUGAAUUAGGGUAUGCUGUCACAAUGGAAUUGUGAAUUUUCUAACUUCAUAUUGAAUGAACUUUAUAACUUCUGCAACGUUCUGAAAUCUUGUUAAGAACACCCAAACUCUUUUGCCUUUCUUAAUCUUGGCAAGUUCAGAAUAAACUGAGAAUGAAACACAAUCAAACUAUGCAAACAACUCCAUAAGUAAAGACAUAACAAUCAACUCCCCAGAGACAUCCAACAUUUUUGGAACAAAACGUAACAAAAUAGCGCUAGCGUUGAUACUGUGAUGUGUAUUUGCAAAAAGCAAUAUUAUUUCCUUCAUUAAAGAAUAAUAUUCAUCCUGCUCUAACCGAGAAAUAAUCAACUUUGUUUUGAACCAUUAAAAACAUAAAACAAUUAGGCUAUUUAAGAAAAAUUUAAGCACCUGCCUUGCAUGGUCUUUCGUGUACCUUUAAGUUUGCAAAGACCUAUUAAAUAUACUUGCAUAAUUUCGAACGUUCAUAUUUCAGGAAACAAUGAAUUAAGACUUACAUGUAAGAUGUCUAAAUCUACGCCAUAUCCCUUACAAACCCUAAAGACAAUUCGCUGAAAUACAAGUUAGCCUGAUAUGUCAUUAAGCAAACAAACGCUGGAGUUAAUAUUUGAUAUGCCGAUUUUCGCUAAUUUUAGACACAUCCCAAAAUAUGCUCCCGAUUUUGAACAUUAAAAUCUCCGUGAAUUUUUAAGUAAAAUACAACUGUAACAUAUCAAAAUCU